UUAAGCGACUAAGCGUACACGGUGGAUGCCCUGGCAGUCAGAGGCGAUGAAGGACGUGCUAAUCUGCGAUAAGCGUCGGUAAGGUGAUAUGAACCGUUAUAACCGGCGAUUUCCGAAUGGGGAAACCCAGUGUGAUUCGUCACACUAUCAUUAACUGAAUCCAUAGGUUAAUGAGGCGAACCGGGGGAACUGAAACAUCUAAGUACCCCGAGGAAAAGAAAUCAACCGAGAUUCCCCCAGUAGCGGCGAGCGAACGGGGAGGAGCCCAGAGCCUGAAUCAGUGUGUGUGUUAGUGGAAGCGUCUGGAAAGGCGCGCGAUACAGGGUGACAGCCCCGUACACAAAAAUGCACAUAUUGUGAGCUCGAUGAGUAGGGCGGGACACGUGGUAUCCUGUCUGAAUAUGGGGGGACCAUCCUCCAAGGCUAAAUACUCCUGACUGACCGAUAGUGAACCAGUACCGUGAGGGAAAGGCGAAAAGAACCCCGGCGAGGGGAGUGAAAAAGAACCUGAAACCGUGUACGUACAAGCAGUGGGAGCACGCUUAGGCGUGUGACUGCGUACCUUUUGUAUAAUGGGUCAGCGACUUAUAUUCUGUAGCAAGGUUAACCGAAUAGGGGAGCCGAAGGGAAACCGAGUCUUAACUGGGCGUUAAGUUGCAGGGUAUAGACCCGAAACCCGGUGAUCUAGCCAUGGGCAGGUUGAAGGUUGGGUAACACUAACUGGAGGACCGAACCGACUAAUGUUGAAAAAUUAGCGGAUGACUUGUGGCUGGGGGUGAAAGGCCAAUCAAACCGGGAGAUAGCUGGUUCUCCCCGAAAGCUAUUUAGGUAGCGCCUCGUGAAUUCAUCUCCGGGGGUAGAGCACUGUUUCGGCAAGGGGGUCAUCCCGACUUACCAACCCGAUGCAAACUGCGAAUACCGGAGAAUGUUAUCACGGGAGACACACGGCGGGUGCUAACGUCCGUCGUGAAGAGGGAAACAACCCAGACCGCCAGCUAAGGUCCCAAAGUCAUGGUUAAGUGGGAAACGAUGUGGGAAGGCCCAGACAGCCAGGAUGUUGGCUUAGAAGCAGCCAUCAUUUAAAGAAAGCGUAAUAGCUCACUGGUCGAGUCGGCCUGCGCGGAAGAUGUAACGGGGCUAAACCAUGCACCGAAGCUGCGGCAGCGACGCUGAUGCGUUGUUGGGUAGGGGAGCGUUCUGUAAGCCUGCGAAGGUGUGCUGUGAGGCAUGCUGGAGGUAUCAGAAGUGCGAAUGCUGACAUAAGUAACGAUAAAGCGGGUGAAAAGCCCGCUCGCCGGAAGACCAAGGGUUCCUGUCCAACGUUAAUCGGGGCAGGGUGAGUCGACCCCUAAGGCGAGGCCGAAAGGCGUAGUCGAUGGGAAACAGGUUAAUAUUCCUGUACUUGGUGUUACUGCGAAGGGGGGACGGAGAAGGCUAUGUUGGCCGGGCGACGGUUGUCCCGGUUUAAGCGUGUAGGCUGGUUUUCCAGGCAAAUCCGGAAAAUCAAGGCUGAGGCGUGAUGACGAGGCACUACGGUGCUGAAGCAACAAAUGCCCUGCUUCCAGGAAAAGCCUCUAAGCAUCAGGUAACAUCAAAUCGUACCCCAAACCGACACAGGUGGUCAGGUAGAGAAUACCAAGGCGCUUGAGAGAACUCGGGUGAAGGAACUAGGCAAAAUGGUGCCGUAACUUCGGGAGAAGGCACGCUGAUAUGUAGGUGAGGUCCCUCGCGGAUGGAGCUGAAAUCAGUCGAAGAUACCAGCUGGCUGCAACUGUUUAUUAAAAACACAGCACUGUGCAAACACGAAAGUGGACGUAUACGGUGUGACGCCUGCCCGGUGCCGGAAGGUUAAUUGAUGGGGUUAGCGCAAGCGAAGCUCUUGAUCGAAGCCCCGGUAAACGGCGGCCGUAACUAUAACGGUCCUAAGGUAGCGAAAUUCCUUGUCGGGUAAGUUCCGACCUGCACGAAUGGCGUAAUGAUGGCCAGGCUGUCUCCACCCGAGACUCAGUGAAAUUGAACUCGCUGUGAAGAUGCAGUGUACCCGCGGCAAGACGGAAAGACCCCGUGAACCUUUACUAUAGCUUGACACUGAACAUUGAGCCUUGAUGUGUAGGAUAGGUGGGAGGCUUUGAAGUGUGGACGCCAGUCUGCAUGGAGCCGACCUUGAAAUACCACCCUUUAAUGUUUGAUGUUCUAACGUUGACCCGUAAUCCGGGUUGCGGACAGUGUCUGGUGGGUAGUUUGACUGGGGCGGUCUCCUCCUAAAGAGUAACGGAGGAGCACGAAGGUUGGCUAAUCCUGGUCGGACAUCAGGAGGUUAGUGCAAUGGCAUAAGCCAGCUUGACUGCGAGCGUGACGGCGCGAGCAGGUGCGAAAGCAGGUCAUAGUGAUCCGGUGGUUCUGAAUGGAAGGGCCAUCGCUCAACGGAUAAAAGGUACUCCGGGGAUAACAGGCUGAUACCGCCCAAGAGUUCAUAUCGACGGCGGUGUUUGGCACCUCGAUGUCGGCUCAUCACAUCCUGGGGCUGAAGUAGGUCCCAAGGGUAUGGCUGUUCGCCAUUUAAAGUGGUACGCGAGCUGGGUUUAGAACGUCGUGAGACAGUUCGGUCCCUAUCUGCCGUGGGCGCUGGAGAACUGAGGGGGGCUGCUCCUAGUACGAGAGGACCGGAGUGGACGCAUCACUGGUGUUCGGGUUGUCAUGCCAAUGGCACUGCCCGGUAGCUAAAUGCGGAAGAGAUAAGUGCUGAAAGCAUCUAAGCACGAAACUUGCCCCGAGAUGAGUUCUCCCUGACCCUUUAAGGGUCCUGAAGGAACGUUGAAGACGACGACGUUGAUAGGCCGGGUGUGUAAGCGCAGCGAUGCGUUGAGCUAACCGGUACUAAUGAACCGUGAGGCUUAACCUU
rnacentral:rRNA from 1 species